AACGAAAACAGAUAAUCUUUGUAGUUUGCACAGAUUUCAUAAAUGGACCAAAUGUUCCGAAGCGACAAGGGGAAGUUGAUGUGGCCUGCCUUGCCAAGUAGGAACAUCGCUCCGACGGCCAAUAUCCGACAUAAAACCUUCUAGCUUGUGAAGCAUUUUUAUAUUGUGAAUAAUCUCUCCUAGGAGACACCAUUGUUUUGGGUGAUCUAAAGUUUAAAGGUGAUGGUUAUAUAAUAACUAGUAGGGCUGCAAACGAAUCUAACAAACACGAACAAAAAAUUGUUCGUGUUCGUUUGUUAAGAAAUAUAUGUGUUCGUGAACCGUUCACGAACACUUAUCGAACAAGAUUUUAUGUUCGUGUUCGAUUGUUAAGAAAAUGAACGUGUUCGUGUUCGUUUGUAUUUGUUUGUUAAUUUUAGGCAAUGAACGUUGACGAACACAAAUGAGCCCAAUCUAAUGUUCAUGAACACAAAUGGAAACAAAUGAAUAUAAACAAUCGUUCAUGAACAGAAUAUAUAAUACACCGACACUUAUUAGAUAUUUAAUUUGUCGGAAUUUUGAUGUCUUUAAUUAAAUAUAAAAACUAAAAAUACUAAUGAAGUAUCGAACACAAACGAACACGUUACCGAAAGUUCACGAACAUAAACGAACGAACACGACCUCUGUUCAUUUUUGUUCAUUUAACUAAACGAACCAAAUUUCUUGUUCGUGUUUGUUUGUUUAGUAAAUGAACGAACACAAACGAACUUCCCGCCAAACGGUUCACGAACUGUUCGCCGAACGUUUGGUUCGUUUGCAACCCUAAUAACUAGUGGACAAAAUAACAUACAUAUAUAAUUAAUAUGUUAGAGAUUUUUACUAUUCAUUUUUCUUACAUAUUUGACCCCAUAACUUUCAUAUUUAUAUACAUCAACCCCUUUAGUUUUUAUUUUUUAACCUCUUUAAUUUUUCAUCUUUUAGCUUUCAACACCUUUCGUUUUCAUUUUUAACCACAACGCUUUUCCAUUUUCAUCUUUCACAAAUUUUUCGUUUUAUGAUUCGGUCUUAAUCUUGCAAGUAAACAUGCUGCAACGUUCAUGUGUGGUUCAAAGCUUUUACGUCUAUUUUUUUGGUGGUUUAACAGCUCCGUUACAACUCGCGGGUCCUAACCCGACUUAGUUAUUCUUUUCUAUGUUUUAAUUUUGGUUUAAUUUUUUUGAGUUAACACGUCGGUAAUUAACGUGUGUCCAUGGUUCAAAGUUUUUAUCUGAUUACUUUUUGUUCGGUUUAAUGGUUCCGCCACAAAAACCGGGUUCUAAAUACUAGUUAUAUAUAAAUCUGAUUUAGUUUUUUUUUUUGAACGGUGAACUUCAUUUAUAAGGUUACCACACUCUCCAAAUUAGAGAGCCCCGUAUUACUCCACUCUGGCCGGGCUAUGUUGUCUUAACCGGACCCACGCUGGCUUCAAAGUUUAGCUUUUUUGGGCGUUUACCCGGGAAACCAUACCACCGGAUGCCACCACAAGAGCAAAACUCUCUAUCGUAACAAACGGUGGAACGAAAACCCAGUUGGGCUCAAGAAUCGAAUUGACAACCUCACACAAGGACUAGUUCAAAUCCUUCAUUGCCUACAUCCACAACAUAUAACACAAGUGGAAAUUGAACUUUAGUAUUCGCUAGAAAAACCAAAUGUGUUACCAUUAGGUUACAAGUGGAGGGACAUAAAUCUGAUUUAGUUAGGUAACCCAUUUGAAAAUUCUUAUCGUUAAACUUUAUCAAAGGCAUUUUUAGAUUUUUCUUUUUAUCCUAUUCCACGGAUUGGACUUCAAAGCAUUUAUGAUCGUAACUUUAUCAAAAGCAUUUUUAUCGUAUUCCACGGAUUGGACUUCACAUUUAUGAUUCUUAACUUUAUCAUUAUUCUUUUUAUCCUAAUCCACGGAUUGGACUUCAAAGCAUAAGCAUAUAAGUAAAGCCCCCCUCGUUUGUUUAUAUUUAGAGUUAAUUACACGGAUAGUUUUUGUGGUUUAUAGCUAGUUUCACGUUUUGGUACUAACUUUAUUUUUUAACAUGUAUAGGUUUUGUGGUUUUGUUUUUGUAACAUAUCAGGGUACUAAGGCCAACGGAGGUUAAAUAUUCUGUUAAGUUAUGCUAAAAUGGCGAAAAUGCCAUUUAAUAACUAGAGGGACUAUUUUUGUCAUUAACUAUAUUUCAUUACUAGGUUCAUUUUUGACAUUUAUUUAAAUUAGAAUUAUCUAUUAAAUUUACACAAACUUAAAAUUAAAAAUAUUAAAAUGAUAAGAACAAGCCAUCUCCAUCACCAUUGCAGGUUUAAUGCUUUCAAAAAUCAAAAGCUGUUCGCCAACUAAUGUCGUAAAGAUUGAGCGCACUGACUGCCGUGGUAGUACGCGGAGGUGACUGCACCGGGGUAGACAUCGACGGUGUUUCGACUCAAACAGAGGGUGAAGAUGGUGAGUGGUGGCUGUUUUAGUGAGAUGCAGACUCAAUCCUAGUGAGAUGCAGACUUAAAUGAUUUUCAUCUUUUAAUAAUUUGUAUAAACUACAUAAACAGUCCAUUAAUAUUAAAAAGUUACAUAAUUGGUCUU
rnacentral:lncRNA from 1 species